UACGGGGGGGGCAAGCGUUGUUCGGAAUUACUGGGCGUAAAGGGCGCGUAGGCGGCCUUCUAAGUCGGACGUGAAAUCCCUCGGCUCAACCGAGGAACUGCGUCCGAUACUGAAAGGCUUGAAUCCGGGAGAGGGAUGUGGAAUUCCAGGUGUAGCGGUGAAAUGCGUAGAUAUCUGGAGGAAUACCGGUGGCGAAGGCGGCAUCCUGGACCAUUACUGACGCUGAGGUGCGAAAGCGUGGGGAGCAAACAGGG
rnacentral:rRNA from 1 species